UGUGUCAUGUCGGGAGUCACAAUCUUUACCUAAAUUUAAAAUGAAAUGCUGUGCGUGCUUAAAAAGGUUUAAUAAAGCUGUAAUCACUGCAAAUGGAAAGUUUUUGGUGGUGGACUUGCCAAAUAUUGUAAUUUUUAUCUUAUUAAUCAGAAACUGAUUGCACUAUGCUUCUCUUGAAACACAUUUGCUGUUGCAAUUUAUUUGCAUAAGGAAGUUGUAGAAAAUGGCACAAGUUUGUCUUGUGACAGUGGAAGUGGAUGUUUGAUAUAAAAUACUCCUGAUCCUUAGUCUGGCUUUUCUACAGAAAGGAGAACUUCGAGAGGAUUACAUUGUAGAAUAAAGUAGUGUCCUAAGCUAAACUAACUCCACUCCAUUUACCCUUAAAUAUACUUAACUGUGCAACCACAAAUGAAGCACCUGAAAGCCCUUGGUUUUUCCAUUAAAUGUUGUUGCUGAAUGAAAUCAUGAGUCUUUAUUUACUGUACUGUUAAGUGUGACAGCACUUGAAAUGAUUGCUCAGAACAAAUUCAUCUGCUGUGUUGCCUUCCUUGAGCUGUGGGAUCGAGGCCAGACGAUGUGUCAGCUAGGCAGGAGUUUCAGAAAACUGAGUCAAACAGAAAGAGAAACUAAAUCAAAAAUAUUUCUCACAUGAAUCUUUCCAUCCCUGUCUUAAAGUCUGCAAAAACGCCUUCCUUCCUUCCUGUCUUCUUCCUCCUUCUGUCUUUUGUGUCUUAGCUGAUGACAUUUAAGCCUGAAAGGUCUUCAUCAUACUUCAACCCUAAUGCAAAUAUUUUGUUUUAGACAGACAAAUUAUGUAAAAAAAACCAAAAAAAAAAAAAAACCCACCACCACCAACAACAACAAAAAGAGUACUACUUUGGUAAUAAUAGGUCAAAUACUGGCAAACAUUUUAGCCAAAUUAUAGAAAACCAGACCUCACAGAGUUACAGUUGCAGAUUUGUUUUGAAAUAACAUGCACCACCCCAAAGUCAGUUUGUAGAAUGUGAUAGAAUGUCAAUUAGUCCAAAUAUGUGUCUUUUAAAUAUAAUUUUUCUGUAUAAAUUUUAACUGUAUACAUUUUUGUCACAGCGUAAACUUAUAUCAGAGUAUAAAUCUAAUUCUGAACCGUUCAAAACAUAGUUUAAGGUUCCUUUCACAUCAUGUUGUAGAUCUCAUUUUAUAUACCCAUGAUUGUGAGUAAACCCUUCUUUGGCAUUACUCCUUCCUUCAGCUGACUCUGACUGGCUGGUUUUACUCAUGUCCUAGGUGCUUAAAAAAAAGAACAAAAAGAAAAGCAUCACAUUGCAAAUAUGCUUCUUCGGAAAGAUGACCAUGAAUGCAUCAGAACCUUGUCAUUUAGU
ensembl:lncRNA